rnacentral:lncRNA from 1 species
GGGUUUGGUUUCAGCAUUGACCUGCCCUACAAUAGUAGAAUUAUGUAAGAGCCACCACUAUAAGAAAAGUCACAUACAUCCAUGCUUUUUAGUCAUGUAAAGUACAUAUGUGGUAAAAGAUCAAAUUCUAAAAAAAAAGGUUGUAUAUACCCAUGUUUGUCAAACGUGAAAAUACUAUAAUUAAUUUGUAACUUAUGUUUCAAUGAU